AUUGAAACUAUUCCAGCCCUGCGAGCCCGUCCACGCGUAGCCAGGCUUGCCGGGGCACCUCGCAGGGUGCAGGUAGUUAUCCUAACCGUGAGAUCGGGGUGCAACGGAUCAAGGGUUUGUCCACAGAACUCUCUAUUCCCCUACUACAAGUCUUAACUCUUCGAGGGAAAAGCCUUUGUCUCUUCUCAUUUCAUUAAAGGCUGCAACGUCCAAGCAGGCUCAAAGGCAAAUUCAUGUCUGUCCUUCUUUUAAAUAAAACAAAUAAGAGCGCUGUCAUUAGGCAUUGUACGGCCCGUGUGGACGCUGCGGAAGGAGAACUAGGGAACCAUUUCAGCAUGUGGAAUACCUCGGUGUAGGAAUUAAGUCAUCGCCACCACCUGACGCGUGUAACCAAUCUGCUGAGAGAGAACAAGCGCCCCUCCUCACCAUCCCCCAGAACUGGUCCGAAACAGGAUUGAACCGCUUCUAACAAAGGGUGGAAACUUAGAAAAACAAGCUUGGAGUCGCCUGUAUUUCCACACUGUAGGCACUUAAACAACAGAUUGCAAAUCUCAGGACCCCUUCUCCCUUUGACAAUGCCUUAAUCUUCAUUUUAUACCCCAAACCCAAAUCCGAUGUGUCAUAUACUUUACAAUCCCAUCUGUCUGCCAUGGGUUUCAUUGAAUCCACGUUCCAAAGUUAGACAUGAUGCUCCGAGAAGAAAAUUACUGACCCCGAAUAGCUUCUAAAAUUGACUUAAUGGUUUGCAUGAUGAUAGAUAUUAGCCUUUGAAAUAAAUGAUGCUUGAUGUACAUUUUAAAAGGAAUUGGGGAAAACAGGGGGAAACACGUGGGGGUGUUGGUGCCAUAUGUCAAAAUAAGCAGUGGAAGCCCUUUAUCAAAGAACAAUAAUCAAGUCCUCGGAGUCGUUUGUACGUUAAUAUUAAAAUCAGAUACAUCUAGCAACCCUCUUAAAUGUCACUACAGUUCUUUAUUGGAGCUCAUUUCUGGAUCUAAGAUUGUAAAAUUAAAGAAAUCCAAUAUUGG
ensembl:processed_transcript 1700023H06Rik RIKEN cDNA 1700023H06 gene